GGCCCUGGCUUCCUGGUGCGAUGAUGAGGCACCAGGGGUGAAGCGAGGCAUGGGCUGCUGGAGCGGGAAUGAGGGGGCGCCAGUGGCUCCGGAAACGGGUGGAGGUUGUCUGCCCUGGCCUCUCCGCAAACAGUGUGUGCGGGCGUGAGAAAAGUCCACCGCUACUCCGCUCCCGAGACAGGGGCGGGGGUACGGGGCGGUCCUCUGUGAAGUUGCGGCUGCUCUGCAGCCAGGUACUAAAGGAGCUGCUGGGACAGGGGAUUGAUGAUCCAGGCUGUAGGUGAGGGGCUGGUGAGCAGGGGCCUGGCACCGCCUGAAGGUCUCCUUUCCCCAUAGUAUAAGAAGAUCCUGAAACUCACGGCUGAUGCCAAGUUUGGUGAGCACCCCACUGAGUUCACAGGCCCCAGGCAACCCUGGGACCUCGGCCUGGUGCCUGGUACAGAGCCCGCCCCCACCCCCCACCCCCCGCCAACACACACAUCCCAGCAGUAUCCUUAACCUGCCUUCCCUAGUGGAGGAGCAUGAGGGAAAGAAAGACAUUGACAGUCCCACCUUCCUGUCCUCUGCCAGCUCCUGGUGGAGCAGUAGCAGUGCCUGUGGCU
rnacentral:lncRNA from 1 species